CUCUCUCUCUCUCUCUCUCUCUCUCUCUAAAUAACUCUAUUUUUCCCUAAUUCAGGUGAUGGACGGGCUCUGGAGUCAGACGCCUUAAAAGCCUCUGACUGUUAAAGAAGCUUACCACCUCUGAAUGGCUCUCAACACCCAGGGGCAUCGAAGCAAACCCAGCCAGAGUUUCUCUACACUGACGAAAUGCGUAAACAAUUGCCUGGAAUCAUCAUGACUAUCGGUGACCAGUUCACAGCCCCAAGAAGAGCAGCUUAGGGCUUUUGGCGCAGGAUACGAUGCUUUCUGCAGUGAGGCUGACAGUGGUCUACAGAGGUUUUUGUUCUUCGGAUGUUUCUGCCUACGCGGAAUGUAGUGGAAGCUUACCUUGUCUAGACCUUGGGUGACUGUAGGGUGACAUGUACUGGUCUCGCCCGACAGCACCUCCCACAGAAGCUGUCAUCGGAGAGGAAGCUGGUAGCCUUCCACACACUUACCUCCCCUGCAGAGACACCAUGGGGAUUCCCUGGCACGGCAGGAGCCUCUGUGGCCUGUUCUGGGUCUUCCGAGCCUUUCGCUUCUUUGGGCUGGCUGUUCACCGGCGCGCUUUCUCUUCCUUUGUCCAGUUUAAAGAAUCUGUUCAAAAAGCCGAAAUCCUUGUCCUGGGCCGGGGCUUCUGCCUGGGACUCAGGUGGCGCUGCGCUUGGGCUGACAUCAAACCUCCCUGAUGCAGCCGAUGAAUCCGUGCCUUGGUCCCCGGGACGUCCUGGUACAGGCCGAGAGAGUGUCAAGAAAAAAUGGGAUCUAGCAGCUGGUGCCUUGGUCUUGGCUUCUUUCCCAAGAUUCUUUCCGCUGGCAUCGCCCACAGCCUGGGCCUCCAUUGUCUUGGGGGAAGAAGUAGCCACAUUAUCCUUGGAGCUGCUGAUUCCCAAGUCGACUGUAAACACAAACAUAAACAGAGGUCAUUCAACAAGCCAGGAAAUUCAAGGGUGAAUAAUGGACUCCAACUUUUGAUACACAACGUCCCUUCUGCAGACUGGGGCGGCCUUGUUCCCUGCUGUCAGCCCAGUAGACACCUCCUGACCCUGCUCUUCCUGGAAGAGAGACCCUCUGAGGCUGAUGAGGCAGAAAAGCCAAGGACUGGGAAGUCACUACCAGGCACCACGUGAGUGACACCCAAUGUCCACUGUCAUCUUCUACUUCCUUGGGAUCCAGAGAAGUGUAUACUUAAUUUUUUUCCAAUAGAAAUCGUGGUGUGUUUGUU
ensembl:antisense Bcas1os1 breast carcinoma amplified sequence 1, opposite strand 1